CCAACGUGGACAUCCUGUGAGAUGCCUCUCACAUGGCUCUGUCCUUGUGGCUUAUGGGAGCGUAGCACUUCGCUGUGACGUACAGUCCCGUUCCACGACGUUGGAGAGCAAGCUCAGUCCCCGGUCCUUGGGCUGGUGAGGACGAGCGUCAUGUAUAUUCCUAUAUCUUCCCAGAGUCUUCCAGGCCAUUACUGGGGAGCUAAACCAUACAGUGCACAGUU